CUGGCAUUUCAAUGGUUUUCCUUGUGAAAGAUUUGUUAGGACUGAAGUGAAAGAAGCCUUAAUCAUCAAAGUUCAUGUACUUGUAUCUCAAUGAGCGUUUGCAUGAUUGAUACCAUAUUUUAGUAUAGAACAUCUAUUAGUUUGUUUCUAAUUCCCCCCGUUAAUUAAUGGGUUGCUUUGUGGGUUACUGCAGGGAAGGCUUCGUUUUAGGGAACCAAGACGAAAGGUGGAUAAAGCCCAAGUAUUGAAGAGGUGUUGCUAUAGAGUUAAAUGUUUUGUGGAAACUGAUGCUGGUUUCUGUCCAACACGCUCGAAGGAGUUACUCUAGCAGUUACUGAAAAAGAAGAAGCAGGAGCACAAUGGACAGGAAUUGUAACAACCAUUGCAGUGGAAAUGCUGAAAGCAAAUAUUGUAGAUGUUGUCAUUUGUGUGCAGAGUGAUCCAGAGGACAACUUACUCCAAAGCCAGUCUUGGCCAGGUAUGUAAACUGCAUUUGAACUGAAAUGCUGACUAUGCCACAUGUGAUCUAAGUGAAGGUAUCACUAAUACCAUCCCUUAAAAAUAAUUUGUUCCAAGAACGCAAAAUGCUAAUUCAACUGAGUUAACUCAGGGGUACAAUGAAUCCAUGGUAUGUUCUAUUUGAAUAACAUGCAUGGGUCUC